GAGGAAUAUUGGUCAAUGGACGAGAGUCUGAACCAGCCAAGUAGCGUGAAGGAUGACUGCCCUAUGGGUUGUAAACUUCUUUUAUAUGGGAAUAAAGUAUUCCACGUGUGGAAUUUUGUAUGUACCAUAUGAAUAAGGAUCGGCUAACUCCGUGCCAGCAGCCGCGGUAAUACGGAGGAUCCGAGCGUUAUCCGGAUUUAUUGGGUUUAAAGGGAGCGUAGGUGGAUUGUUAAGUCAGUUGUGAAAGUUUGCGGCUCAACCGUAAAAUUGCAGUUGAAACUGGGAGUCUUGAGUACAGUAGAGGUGGGCGGAAUUCGUGGUGUAGCGGUGAAAUGCUUAGAUAUCACGAAGAACUCCGAUUGCGAAGGCAGCUCACUAGACUGUUACUGACACUGAUGCUCGAAAGUGUGGGUAUCAAACA
rnacentral:rRNA from 1 species